UGCCUACGGGGGGCAGCAGUGGGGGAUAUUGCACAAUGGGGGGAACCCUGAUGCAGCGACGCCGCGUGGGCGAUGGAGUGCUUCGGCAUGUAAAGCCCUAUCAGCAGGGAAGAAAAUGACGGUACCUGACUAAGAAGCCCCGGCUAACUACGUGCCAGCAGCCGCGGUAAUACGUAGGGGGCAAGCGUUAUCCGGAUUUACUGGGCGUAAAGGGAGCGUAGACGGCUUGGCAAGCCAGAUGUGAAAGGCUGGGGCUCAACCC
rnacentral:rRNA from 1 species